AACUUCUCAACCACACAAUGAUUGUCGUGGCUUUGGAUGUGGGGGAUUUUGCAGGCUUCUUUCAGAAGUCUGCUCCCCUGAAAUGCAUUAGUGGUCUUCUGAGCUGCUACAGGUGUGAUUAAUUAUCUACAUCUCCAGUAUCGCUGCAGACACUGCUUCUAAAAACGAGUGGAACAGGACACAUGAA
rnacentral:misc_RNA from 1 species